GUCACAGUGAGAGAGCCAUGAUGGAGGACGGGGUCACCCUGCUUGCCCAACGCGGGGAGCUCCGUCAUACAGAACCCCAGUGAGUUCUGGAGGUCACGCUCUGUUUCAUAAAUGAAAAGCUGGGGCAGGGGCCUUGCCACACGGACACUCCUCGGGCCUCACAAGCUCCUGUGGGUGACCAGGCUGCUCCCCACCGCCGGCGUGGGCUGUUGCUACCCUGCACAUCCCUCGGGUGGGCAGCGGUGCUUGAAACGCCAGCUCCCGCCCUUCCUGCCUAGUGGCUUGACGGCUUCAUUGUGCUAACCACCCAGGCAAGCUUGCGUGACUAACGGAGGAGCGUCUCCCCUUAGAUUCUUCCCGCCCGGAGCCGGGGACAGCAGGUUGUUUAUCACGGAAGGGCUGGGAAGAGCUUUUCAGAAAGGCCUUGGGGACUCUCUGUGUGGCAUGGAACAGAGAGUGCCUGCCCACCCCAGGCAGCCAGAUGCAGCCCCUGCCUGCUUCCCCCUCCCUGGCUAUGUGCGUUCCAGAAAACCACCUGACCUCCAGAUUCUCUCUCGUCCAGUGGAGAUUCUCCUGCCCGAAGGCAGGCGCUCUCCAAGGUCCCUCUCCCCAGAAGAGCCACGAUCCCAGGAAGCCGGCUUGUGCAGAGGAAAGAACCGCACCUCGUUGUCAGAACAACCCCAGCUCUGCCACCUACACCUUGUGUGACCUUGGGCAAGUCAGAGAAACUUCUCAGAUGCACAAUCUCGUCACGCUCCUAGUUUCCAAGCCCACACACCUGAGGGUCAAUGUCCCUUAUUGCACCCCCACCCCAUACCGACUCCAUCAGCAAGUCCUGUUUGUUCUUGCCCCAAGUAUCUCUCCUGUCUGCCCAUUCCCUGCAUCUCCCCCGUCACCACCCCGGGCCAGUCCCCGUUACCCGCACCUGGAGGUCUGCACCAGCCCCACCUGCACUCCGGCGUCCACUCUCGCCCCCAUUGCUGUGAUCUCCACACAACCACGAGCGGCCUUGAGAGCGCAGCGAGGCCGUGAGGCUGCGCAGAGCCCCUCAGUCAGCAGGACCGCGCUCACGGUUCAGUGGGCCGUCUGCUAGAGGCUUUCCGCAGUUCAUUCCUUCUCCCCACACAACUCUGAAGGAUCAGCCCCAGCUCUGGGGCCCAGGACUGCUUGGCUCAUCGAAGAAUCCCGCCAUGCAGGUAUGACCUGGAUAGUACUUGACAUUGCAUUGUAGUGGGGAAAAAUAAAAAGGAACAUGAAACCU
rnacentral:lncRNA from 1 species